rnacentral:rRNA from 1 species
CCCUUAGACGUUCUGGGCCGCACGCGCGCUACACUGACGAAGGCAACGAGCUACUCUUCACCGAAAGGUGUGGGUAAUCUUUUGAAACUUCGUCGUGCUGGGGAUAGAUCCUUGCAAUUUUUGAUCUUAAACGAGGAAUUCCUAGUAAGCGCAAGUCAUCAACUUGCGUUGAUUACGUCCCUGCCCUUUGUACACACCGCCCGUCGCUACUACCGAUUGAAUGGUUUAGUGAGGCCUUCGGAUCCGCGAUUUUAUUGUGGAGAAGUUGGACAAACUCAGUCAUUUAGAGGAAGCAAAAGUCGUAACA